ensembl:lncRNA MKNK1-AS1 MKNK1 antisense RNA 1
AUUUCAUUCCAAGUCCAGCCUUCAACCCCAGUGCCUGAGCAGGAGGGAGGGACAUUGCUCUGACUCUUGAGUUGCGAGGACUGGAAGACCUUCACUUUAGCCCUGCAAGCUCUGGCUUCCAGCACAGCUGAGAGGCCCCAGUGGCACAAGACUCCGAAGGCUUCUUUGAGCGAUCACAGGUUCUUGACCACUUGUCUGGGCACUGCUCCUGUCUCCUGGAGCUCAGGCUGGAUGGAGUCUCUCCCCUAGUUCAGGCUGCAGCCCCAGCCGCCACAGCUACAGCGGUGAGAGCAGGCUGGAUCCCAGAUCUGCAGGCGGGUGAGCAGGUGGAGCCCAGUGAAGAGAUGUUCCUGCUGCAGGCAAUUAUGCAAAAUGCUUGCUCUGUUGCCCAGGAUGGAGUGCAGUGGCGUGAUCGCAGCUCACUGCAACCUCCGUCUGCUGGAUUCAAGCGAUUCUCCUGCCUCAGCCUCCCAAGUAGCUGGCAUUACAGCACCUGCCACCAUGCCUGGCCAUGGCUCACCAAGAAACAACCACCUCCCGCCUCCACACACCCUGCAAAACUAAUUUGACUGAAAGAUGGUCUCAUAUAUUUUCCAAACUCUCAGGCUUACAUCAAUCACACUGAUGAUCAAGAGCGAAGAAAGGACGAGGAUGGGCAGAAACAUCACACAAUCACGAUGAGCAAUGCCUGACAUGACAAAGAGCAAAAAAAUGGUUAACAUAUGCAGAUAAUUAUCAAACAUUCCACACACAAUUAAUUUUUUCCAAAUGCUGUAGUUCGCAGAUUAAUUCCCAAUUAUGGUACAUUAAAAAAUCAACGAGCUGCAGGAGGCAGAAGUAACCAGCGACACAAACCAAAAGCACAGUUGAUUCUGCGGGUUCUUUUGAAGAGGAGGCUUUAGAAGUCUGGCAGGGAUAAGAAGGGCUAAAUGAAUCCCAGCCAGCCUACCCCUCAGUACCACAGUGACCACCAAGAAGAAGGCCUAAUGCAGAGCAGAGCAGAGAGCUCUGCAAACGGCAAUGCUUGGAACAGCAAUGCAGAAAUAAUUAGUGCCUUGUUUAAGAGCAUCUCAGGGGGCUUAACUGCUCUACCUCAUUUCUUCUUGUGUGGCCGAUUUAAAAAAAAAAAUUCCUUCAGUGCGACUGUCUGAAUGUUCAGAGGAGCAAGUGUUAGUUACCAAAUCUCCCAAAGUGACCUAUUCCCUUCUCACCUGCUUUGCAUGUCUAAGGCAGCCCUGCCAGCAGCAGAGCAAAGACCGCUUUGGCACCAGGAUGCUGUUAUUUUUGUUUUUUAAAAUAGAGAUGGAGUCUCGCUAUAGCCAGGCUGUUCUUGAAAUCCUGGCCUUAAGCAAUCCUCCUCCCUUGGCCUCCCUAAGCAUGGGGAUUACAGGUGUGAGCCACCUCGCUAGGCCCACUGAGGGUUGCUGUUUUUAAGAGAAAACCUCUGCACUUUGGCCAGGCCUCCUGAAGGCGACUGGAGAUAGCAGCUUAGCCCAUGAGGGGUUAACCUGCUGACCUGGCCAAGAAGGCACCUCGGGGAGAGCCCUCUUCUAACCAAAGAAAGGGACAAAGAACUAACUCUGGGUCAUGGUGUUUUGGUGGAGGACACAGAAACCUCCCUUUUGUCUUUCCUUCCACAGCACAUGCAGCACAGAGACAGGGCUGGAAGGCUGAGCAAGAGUCAGAGCUACAGUUGGAAGUAUUGGAAAGCGGCAGCGGAUUCUCGGGGUGAUGGGAAAAGCAAAAUCUGCUUCACUAAAACUCCGUCGGUGAUCAACUUUUUCAGCAGUCCUCCGAUUCCCGACUAGAAGGCAAAAGCCUGGCCCAGGCCACGGGAGGCACUUCACUAAAGAAGAAAAACCUGAGCUCCAGCAAGCUCAGUAACUUCAUCAGUCACCUAAUUGAACGAGAACCCAGAGCAACUCAGUCCAGGCUGCACAAAUUGAGUAGCACUGCUCUGCAGCUCGCUGCACUAAAAGUGGAAGAUAUUUUCCAUUACAGCAAGUGCUCCCACAGAAGGAUCACGAGCCACACACGGAGCCUUACUCUCCAAAUAGGCGCCCAUGGCCCAGUCGUCCCUUAGCCUAAGAACUCAGAGAGCCAGGCUGUAAUAAUGGGGCUGCCGUGUGAGCACAGCAGCCAUCGAGCUGCUCCGGUUCAUUUCCCAGAGGUUGAGCUGCAGUGUGUCCAGUAUUUAAAAGUAUGGAACUUGUUUCAGGGCUGACCCAUUCUUGCCCAAUUCAUCUUCCCCGUGUGAAGUUAUUUAGCAAACAGCCAAGUUCAGCUGGAAAUCGUUUUUCAUCCCCUCCAACUUCUAGUCACAUGGGCAGCUGGCCAGCUACAUGUUAACAAGCGCCUCAGAACUCCUAAGACACCACCGGCCUCUGUUCCCUUCAGUGCAUUCUUGUAAAUAAAUAAAUAAUAAAACCUGCCUUUACCACCCCC